GACCAACGCUGGCGGCAUGCCUAACACAUGCAAGUCGAACGGACAGAACAGGGAAGCUUUUCGGAGUGGAACUGGAAAGUUAGUGGCGGAUGGGUGAGUAACGCGUGGACAACCUACCUUGUAAAGGGGAAUAACCUCGAGAAAUCGAAGCUAAUACCCCAUAAUAACCUUGCUUCGCAUGAAGUAAGGAGGAAAGGCGGCCUUAGCGCUGUCGAUACAAGAUGGGUCCGCGUCUGAUUAGCUAGUUGGUGAGGUAAAGGCUCACCAAGGCGACGAUCAGUAGCCGGCCUGAGAGGGUGAACGGCCACAUUGGGACUGAGACACGGCCCAAACUCCUACGGGAGGCAGCAGUGGGGAAUCUUCCGCAAUGGGCGAAAGCCUGACGGAGCAAUGCCGCGUGAGUGAAGAAGGCCUUCGGGUUGUAAAACUCUGUCCUUAUCGAAGAGAGAGUGUUGUAGUAACUGACAAUACUAGGACGGUAGAUGAGGAGGAAGCCCCGGCUAACUAUGUG
rnacentral:rRNA from 1 species